rnacentral:rRNA from 1 species
GACGAACGCUGGCGGCGUGCCUAAUACAUGCAAGUAGAACGCUGAAGGAGGAGCUUGCUUCUCUGGAUGAGUUGCGAACGGGUGAGUAACGCGUAGGUAACCUGCCUGGUAGCGGGGGAUAACUAUUGGAAACGAUAGCUAAUACCGCAUAAGAGUAGAUGUUGCAUGACAUUUGCUUAAAAGGUGCAAUUGCAUCACUACCAGAUGGACCUGCGUUGUAUUAGCUAGUUGGUGGGGUAACGGCUCACCAAGGCGACGAUACAUAGCCGACCUGAGAGGGUGAUCGGCCACACUGGGACUGAGACACGGCCCAGACUCCUACGGGAGGCAGCAGUAGGGAAUCUUCGGCAAUAGACGGAAGUCUGACCGAGCAACGCCGCGUGAGUGAAGAAGGGUGUCGGAUCGUAAAGCUCUGUUGUAAGAGAAGAACGAGUGUGAGAGUGGAAAGUUCACACUGUGACGGUAUCUUAACAGAAAGGGACGGCUAACUACGUG